AUCCCAUGAUGAGGACAAUUACGAAGUAACUCAUUGAAUCGCUCCUAAGCCUCAUACGAAGACUCGUUAUCCAAUUGUUGGAAAGUUGUGAUCAUGUUCCUUAACUU
rfam:Gossypium hirsutum cultivar TM-1 chromosome 24, whole genome shotgun sequence